GAGACCCUGUGGGGAGCUGAUGUUCCUGUUUGAGGGCCUGGGAGCUGAUGUUCCUGUUUGAGGGCCUGGGAGCUGAUGUUCCUUUGCAGGCAGUGCAGCUGGAGACCCGGCGGGUUGCUGAUGUUCCAGUUUGAGGUCCAUGCAGCUGGAGAUCUGGUGGGGAGCUGAUGUUCCAGUUUGAGGGCCCUGCAGCUGGAGACCCAUGGGGAUCUGAUGUUCCAGUUUGAGGGUGGUGCAGCUAGCGACCCAGGCGGGAGCUGAUGUUCUAGUUUUAGGGCCCUGCAGCUGGAGACCCGGGGAGGAGCUGACGUUCCCGUUUGAGGGCUGUGCACUGGAGACCCGGGGAGGAGCUGAUGUUCCCUUUCGAGGGCUGUGCAGGUGGAGACCUGGGGAGGAACUGAUGUUGUUCUAAUUUGAGUGUGGUGCAGCUGGAGAUCCAGGGAUGAGAUGGCCCUGCGGUUCAAAUAUGAGGGUCCCGGAGCUGGACUCUACGUGAGGAACCAAUGCUGCCUCUGAUGUCUUAGGUUGUGGAGCUGGAAACUCGCGGAGGAGCUGGUAUUGGUGUUUCUAGUUGAGGGUUGUGGUAUUUCCAGGGUUUCACAAAGGCC
rnacentral:lncRNA from 1 species